UACAGAGGUCUCAAGCGUUGUUCGGAUUCAUUGGGCGUAAAGGGUGCGUAGGUGGCGAGGCAAGUCGGAUGUGAAAUCCCGGGGCUCAACCCCGGAACUGCAUUCGAUACUGCUUUGCUAGAGUACUGGAGAGGAGAUUGGAAUUUACGGUGUAGCAGUGAAAUGCGUAGAUAUCGUAAGGAAGACCAGUGGCGAAGGCGGAUCUCUGGGCAGUUACUGACACUGAGGCACGAAGGCCAGGGGAGCAAACGGG
rnacentral:rRNA from 1 species